rnacentral:rRNA from 1 species
AACGCGAAGAACCUUACCUGGCCUUGACAUGCGGAACUGCAGAGAUGCGGGAGUGCCUGGGAAGGAACACAGGUGCUGCAUGGCUGGAGCGUGGUGAGAUGUUGGGUUAAGCCGCAACGAGCGCAACCCUUGCUUAGUUGCCAGCACGUAAUGGUGGGAACUAAGGAGACUGCCGGUGACAAACCGGAGGAAGGUGGGGAUGACGAAGAAUGGCCCUUACGGCCAGGGCUACACACGUACUACAAUGGGAGGUACAGAGGGUUGCGAAGCCGCGAGGUGAAGCCAACCAGAAAACCAGCGGAGGAGUUUGCAACGACCGUGAAGGGAAGCUAGUAAGCGAAAGCAUUGCCGCGGUGAAUACGUCCCGGGUUGUACACACCG